rnacentral:rRNA from 1 species
CAAUAGCGUAUAUUAAAGUUGUUGCGGUUAAAAAGCUCGUAGUUGGAUUUCUGCCGAGGACGACCAGUCCGCCCACUGGGUGAGCAUCUGGCUCAGCCUUAGCAUCUUCUUGGAGAACGUAUCUGCACUUCAUUGUGUGGUGCGGUAUCCAGGACUUUUACUUUGAGGAAAUUAGAGUGUUUCAAGCAGGCCUACGCCUUGAAUACAUUAGCAUGGAAUAAUAAGAUAGGACCUCGGUUCUAUUUUGUUGGUUUCUAGAGCUGAGGUAAUGAUUAAUAGGGAUAGUUGGGGGCAUUCGUAUUUAACUGUCAGAGGUGAAAUUCUUGGAUUUGUUAAAGACGGACUACUGCGAANGNAUUUGCNAAGGAUGUUUNCAUUG